GUACUCAUUUCAUCAGUAUGUACACUAAAAUUAGAAUGAUACAGAGAGAAUUAGCAUGGCCCUUGUGAAAGGAAAACACACACAUUUGUGAAGGAUUUCAUAUUUUU